AUUGAACGCUGGCGGCAGGCCUAACACAUGCAAGUCGAGCGAGCGGCGGACGGGUGAGUAAUGUCUGGGGACUGCCCGAUAAAGGGGGAUCACCACUGGAAACGGUGGCUAAUACCGCAUACUCUCCGAUAACCCAUAUGGGAUUAGCUAGUAGGUGGGUUACUGGCUCACAUGGGCGACGAUCUCUAGCUGGUCUGAGAGGAUGAUCGGCCACACGGGGCCUGAGACACGGCCAGGACUCCCGGGGGGGCAGCAGGGGGGAAUAUUGCACAUGGGGCGCAAGCUUGAUGCAGCAAUGCGCGGUGGGUGAGGAAGGCCUUAGGUUUGUAAAGUACGUUCAGCGGGGAGGCGUUACCCGCAGAGGAAGCACCGGCUAACUCCGUGCCAGCAGCCGCGGUAAUAC
rnacentral:rRNA from 1 species